rnacentral:lncRNA from 1 species
AAGCUUGUGAACCAGCAAAGUGAAAUGCAGAACCAACAAAGUGAAAUGCAAGAUCUCCUUAAAUCUUUGAAAGCACAGCUGCAAGCCAACAAGCAAGUCGAUGAAGGCACAUCUGAACGUACUGCUUGGUAAGCAAUUCUAAACUAUAUAUACUUGUCUAAAUAGAUAUAAUGGCUGCUAUGGUUUAAGUUAACAUAAGUUAUUGAAAAUUAGUUAUUGGUAGGGUACAAUAUUAACUUGUAAUAUCAAGACUGAGGAUAUUAGUGAAUGCUUGUUACUUUUGUUGUUUAUUUAGCAAUUAGAGACUGUUUUGCUUUUGUCACCUGAAUUGCAAUGUUGCUAUCCUUUGACAUCUACAUAUUAAAACAAAGAAGUUUAGAAUGGCGUAACAUAAAACUUACAAUCCAGAUAAAACUUACAGCUUGCUUUCAAAGUCUUCUAUGCACCAUUUAAUGGCGUAACAUAAAACUUACAAUCCAGAUAAAAAAUAAAUUCAGAUUUCGUCCUUAAAUUUUUGUCCAACCGGUACUGCUUUUGUUUAUCAGUUCUUUCCUUCUCCUUCUCCUUUAUUUUCCCUUAAAUUUAUUGUGUUAAUAUCAAUAUUAUCUCUGCUAUGAAGAUGUUUCGUUGCUUUUUUCAUUUUCACUGGAUCUACUGGAAUUUGUUUAAUCUGCUGUUACACCAAGCCUGCGGUAGCAUAUUUCUGCAUCUAUUUGCACUUAAUGCGGGUGAAAUGUAACUUUAUUUCACAUGUUUGUUUUCAUUUUUAUUUUUACUGGAGUUGUCCGAAUUGCAAUUUUGUGUUUUUCGCCCCCUCGCAUGGCAAGAGUUUGAGUAGAACAUUCAUAAAUCAUAAUUCUCUGUCAAUUCUGCAGCCGCAUAUGUAGCUUGACACGUUUGCAUGACUUACUGAUGAUUUAAAGCUACUGCUUGGACAAAUCUAGAAGAACUUUAAACUUAUGGAACAAUAACGUUGGUAUUGAUUAAUGAAUAUGAUACGGUGUUUAAUCCCGGAAUUAAAUACAUUAGCUGCAGGCAUAUUCUCUAUUCUGAUGUAAAUUACUUCCUCGACAUGUAAAGAAGCUUAAACUGAUAUACUGAUGUCUUUAUUUGCACUGAUUCCUGUUUUGCGGCCCAAAUGAAGGAGAGGAAGUUUACUAAAACUUUUGAACCAAAUUCCCAGAACCACACACACACAUAAUAUUUAAUAACUCGUUAGUGUUUUUAUGCACUGCUUAUUCUUAACUGAUCUUAAAAAGCAUUUUCUCUUUGUGACCAUGAACUUUCUUUUUGUACUGUUAGUCAUUUAUUUUAUAUUCUGUAUCCUGUAUCCUAUAUAUUCAGAUUUCAAGGUCUUCUAUGCACCAUUUAAAUUUCUCUAUCAUCUACUAAUAACUUUACUACUUUAUUGCAGAUAUAUUGCUCAUUUUGGAGGUUUCGAAGAAGAUUAGUAGUACGGCUUACAUGUCGACUCAAAAACUGUGGUUAUAGUGCUGUCUUAAGUUUAGAAAAUGUUUCGGUAGCACAGAAAAUGUUUUGGGACUUGGAAUAUGUUUUUUAGCGCAGCCUUGACUUAUGAGUAGUAUUUGUUCCACUGAAACUUAUGAAAAUAUUUGUACUAUGAUGUUGCACUUAUUUAUGAUAUUUGAAUAUUUAAUAUGUUA